rnacentral:lncRNA from 1 species
GUCACUACUGUCAGUCAGACAGAAAUAAAAGGAAAAUGGAUGCCGUUCAGACGUACACGCAUUAUUUGGAACUGAAAAUUACGUAAUUUAUCGACCUGCUGGCUUGUAUUUGUUAUAAAUCAUAAAAAAAUUAUGGAAAACAUCAUGAACAAUAAUGAAACAAACCGAACCUUUAGCUACAAUAAUAAAAUGACCCCAUGACGCCAGUGGAACUACGUGGUUUUCUUUCGUGAUGAUUUGAUGAUGUCUCAAUGGAAUUGAGCCAAGUUUUCGCCGUAUUGGGUGCUAGAUGCCCCUUGGAGUUAAGCCCCAAUGCCACUAUACUACCUUACCAGUAAAGUUAUGUGUGGGUGUUGUAGUCCUAAGACACCCCGGAGGUACAAAGGGCCUUCACAAACUCACGCCACGCCUUCCUAUCUUCAGCAACCCUCGUGACCUCGCUCCACCAGCUCAAACCUGCCAGUCGCAGCUCAUUUUUCGACGGACCGCUUCCAUGAGUAGACAAGGCACCGACGAUCACGGCUUGCAUCACCUGUACUGCUUCGUAAUAUAGCAUGCUGAACAAUACUGCCAUUAUACUAGGAUCAACGUCCUGCCCCUUCCCCGGCUGUGUACAAAUUGGAACUCCAUUUGCAUGCCCCUUUGACUGAGCAAUGUGUGUAUGUGCUCGAAACACAUUCACUUGCAACAGAAUGACUCCCAGGCUGACCUGGCUCAGCUCCUGUAUGUCUGUUCUACAUAGACAAUGGUUUCAAUGAAAGAGUGAAAAUUCUUCUCCAUGUACAAUCACUUCCAACGCCUACACUGACUACACCAAAUAUGAUCAUCACUCAACGUGUCUCACAUCAAGAUACUUUUCAAAAGUCAUCGAGAAGAGGAACAUAAUAUCUUUUCCCAUGGUUUCCUGAAUAAUCCUAACUAAAAGUUACUUCUCUAUUCUAUUUUUCCUGCAUGGAGUGGCGCUUAUCCGUCUAAUGGAAACGAAAUGAACAUAUAUGCUCUGGGUUUUUUUUGUUUUUGUGCACCUUUUCAAUAUUACUAAUAAAGCAUUUUGUGGAUGUUUCAUUUACCACCUUCCUUCAUAAUUUUGCUAGCGUGUGAUUCACCGUAUCCCUAAUUAUUAAAUGCAAUAGCUACUGCAAUCUGUUCACUGAUGGGAAUCAUUUCAUGUUAACACAGCUCUGAAUACUAUCUUAUAUAAUGACUCAGACUGACUGUCAAUAAAAAUAUUCCUAGCUAUAAGCUUGCCUGAGAUUAAUGAAUGGUGUGCCUAACUCCUUACUUGAGUACUUAAGAACUAUGCUUAAAUUCUAGAUUGUAUGUUCUUGACAUUCUUGUCAAUAAGCUACUUGAAUGUUUGUCUCUUUCAAGUAAUUAUAAUUUGUUCACACUUCAGUGGAAGACAACUAAUCCUUAGUUGUUAGUAAGUAUGAAACGUGCUAAUUGCUACUCGUUUCCCUAUGAUUAUGAAUACCAUUACUUAUUCUAUUGUUAAUUUUAUUUAAAAAUAAAUCAAAAUCAAAUCAAUGAGUCGCCCUGUUGACAACAUAAGAUUAUUGUCAGUAUAAUCACAGCUAAAAUAAAUAUUUCACAGCUUAACGCUUGUCUAGAUCAAUCAUCAUUUUAUUUCCUAGUUCUUCUCUAGCUGAUAACAGCUUAUCACUAAUCAGUUGAUAACACGGAAAAGGGGCGAGAAGAUAGUGAGGUAAGAGUGAACAUGAUAUUGUCUUGCUGUCAAAGUGACAUCUACCAUGAUAUGCGACACUGUUGACACAUGAAGAAUAGAUUUUGACAAAAUGUACUUAAUCAAGUCUGUGUAUCGCAUACUGU